CGUCGCGUCGUGAUGUCAUAUUUCAAAAUGGCAGAGCCCGCGGAAAGACCCCCUGGAGUCGACUCCAUUUCCCAAGAAAAGAUGUCAACAGCGCGACUUGUAACAAUUAUAAGGCCGAGGAGGGUUAUUUGAACACACACCAUUCAAUUAUUAUAAAUGAAAGUCACGUUUUUUUUAACCGCUCCGGUCUCGUCCCAGCGGAAGUGACGCUAGCACGUCAUCAGAAUACAACAGAUCAACACGACGAGAGAGACAUUCUGCCGCUAGACGAAGGUCACCGAGCAGCGACGAAGUUUGCAUUUUCGGUAGAGGUCCAGGGAGCCACGAGGGCGGUGCUAAAGAGACGCGGGUUGCUGACCCCCGGCCUACACCCUAGACUGGCCGCCAGUUCAUCACAGGACACAUGAACAAGCCUUCGCCCUCAAAUCAGAGAAAAACAACAACACCAGAAAUGUGUCCCGUGAAAAACCGUCCGACCAGAACUCUAAUAACUAAAGUUCCUUGGGUGAAUAAUGGUAACUCACUACACCGGUAUGUUUUAGGGCUUUCAUGGCGAGUUUACUGACUGAAAUAAGUAAUAACUUUACACUGCUUUUUAUUAGAAAUGGCAACAGCAGAGGAUGGAUGUCCCAUAACAAGAAGGUGGAGAAAAAGAAGAAGCUUAUCGACUACGGUGUCGGCACGGACUACAAAGCCUGACCUGCACAAAUUUUCAGGUACCAGAAGCUUCCAAUGGCCAGGAACUGACUGCUGGGGCUCCAGGCCACAGCCUUCACACCCAGCGACCACUCAUAGGCGCUGAAAGUUGACAGCAAGCGGCCGUCCAGAGAAUAUAGCAACACCUUGUACUGCACGGAGGAAACACGCAUGAAGUGUAAAAGUUUGGGUUGGUAAGUCAUGAGGACUUACCUCCAGACAGCUGUCCCACACAGCCAGGACGCAGCCGUUGGGAGACCACUCUAACCCUGCGAGAUCUUGUGUCUCAGUUUCAAAAUGCUGCAAGUAAAUGAAAGUAAUUAAGCUGUUCCAAAAUGCUAAGGACAAGAAUCCUCACAUUCCAUCGCAGUGUUUCCCACACAUUCAUUUAUUUGUGGCGGCCCGCCACGAAAGAAUUACGUCCGCGACAAAUAAAAAAUCUAAAUAAAAAAUGUUUUUUGUCCUGUCCUACGGAGCCCCUAAAGCAGGGGUGUCAAACUCAUUUUAGCUCAGGGGCCGCAUGGAGAACCAUCUAUUCCUAUGUGGGCCGGACUGGUAAAAUCAUGGCAUAAUAACUUUAAAAUACAACUACGGCAACUUCAGAUUGUUUUCUUGGUUUUACUUUGGCCUAAAAUAGAACAAGCACAUUCUGAAAAAAGGACAUAUCACAUAUGAUCCUCUUGACAAAACAAUUCAAGUUAGUUGAAAAAUCUGCGGAAAAAAAUGGUACAGUUUCAAAAACUCCAUGAAGAACACAUUGAAUUUAGACUUAAUCUCAGUGUAUCUACAAAGCAAUUCAACUUUAAGUCACAGCCCAUGUAGGAUUGAACAAAAAACAUAAGAAAGCAUAAAUAAAAACUCCUCUAUGUAUCAACUACCUCAUUUGUCUUUCCACUGUUCACUUUCUUUGAAUUUUCACAGAAGAAACUAAUUUUCACAGAACCAUAUCAAUGUGUCUCAUGCAGCAUUUUAAGUGGGGUUACCAAUUGUUUAUUUUACUCCUGUGUGUUUUACGUUGGGUCAGGGGGGAGGAGUCCCAGCCCCGCUACUGUGUACCUCUUGCUUGGUAUACUUGCUCGCCCCAAUAUAAACAAUUUGCUUGCCUAACAGAAUUGCUAUUGCGACAUCCAGUGGACACAUUUAGAAAAACAGUUUAUUUAAUUUUAAAAUGCAGCUCAAUUUUACACUGACUCAUCUCGCGGGCCGGAUUGAACCUGUUCGAGGGCCUGAUCCGGCCCACGGGCCGCAUGUUUGACAUCCCUGCCCUAAAGGGACAUGGGAAUUUA